UUUUUUAUCUAGGCCUACGUGAAAUUCUGCAUCCAUUGUACGAUUUUUUUUUAUUUAUUUUUUUCCACCUCGGAAGGGCAAUGUGAGUCGAGAAGGGCAUAUGGGCAGUUGCCCGGGCAACCUGAGCAACCCCCCUGUGCACGUCCCUGCAUCCAUCCAUCAUUCUGUCUUUGUAUCCAUCCAUCCAUCCAUCCGUCCAUCAUUCUGUCUUUGUAUCCAUCUGUCCAGAACUCUAUCUGUCUGUCUGGUCAUUUAUCUGUCUGUCCAUCAGUCAUUCUGUUGUUCAGUCUGUGUAUCUGUCCAUCCAUCCUUCCAUCUAAUCUACAGUACUUAUUUCAAGUUAAACUUUCUUUUAACAUAGAGAAUAAAAUCGUCUGUCCAGCAUCAGUGUCCCAUGGCUCAUUGUAUCCACAUCCGGCUCUAUAUAAUUCUAGACGAUUUCUCCGAGGCAUGCGCUGGACUGCGGCCCAGAGCAAGCUAUCCACGUCCUCUCCCAUGCCUAAACAAAGAAAAAUGUUAAUAACAGGCCUCACUUGGACACUUAAGAACGCAAGUAUGAACUUUCUUUCAUUGUUGUUUGUGCACAUCUGGAUUUCAGCCGUGUGGCGUCUCUUCCUCUGCUGGCAGUCGGGCUCAAGUUUGUGGGAAGAAAAUAAUCCAAUGUCAUCCAGAGCAGCCCAUGGCCAGACGUGUGUUUUGGAUGCUAAUGGUGCGUGACUCGGUCCGAGUGUGUCACGUCCACACUCAGCACACCUGUGUUUGCACCAGAUGGAUCAUGGAAACGCAGCCCAUAAUGUCACGUGUUGCUAUGGAAACCCAGAUGGACACCUGCUUCCUGAAUCCAGACGGCGGGAAGAGCUGAAGGAAGUCUGAGAGGAAUGGAGCGCGUCAGAAACACAGAUUAUCUCCUCAGAUACAGUCAGAGAUUCGGGAAUCUCCAUGACAACCGGUUUCCGAGUUUGCCGAUGGAUAGCGGAUCCAUGGAAACCGUCUGGAGAAACAGAGACAGAUAAGAGUGAAGCUGCUGU
ensembl:lncRNA